rnacentral:rRNA from 1 species
CCUGAACGCUGGCGGCGUGGCUAAGACAUGCAAGUCGCACGGUGUAGCAAUACACAGUGGCGAACGGGUGAGUAAUGAAUCGCUAAUGUACCCCGGACUCUGAGAUAGCUGCCCGAAAGG